rnacentral:tRNA from 1 species
GAGCGAUUAGCUCAGCUGGUUAGAGCGCGGUCCUGAUAAGACCGAGGUCCCAGGUUCAAGUCCUGGAUCGCUCACCA